rnacentral:misc_RNA from 1 species
GAACGCACAUUGCGCCUCCUGGUAUUCCGGGAGGCACGCCUGUCCGAGCGCCAUUACACCCCCCAAGCCUUGCUUGAUGUUGGGCCAUGACGUGCUGUCAAGCCCCAAACCUUUAGGCGCCCCCCACUGGCCGCGAGCGUAGCAAGAAUUUUUUUCCUCGCUUCGCGUGUCCGAUGGGCGGGUCGCCGACUGACCCCCUAAAUUUUUUAAGGUUUGGCCUCGGAUCAGGCGGGGAUACCCGCUGAACUUAAG